rnacentral:tRNA from 13 species
GCGGGUGUAGUUCAAUGGUAGAACAUCAGCUUCCCAAGCUGAGAACGCGGGUUCGAUUCCCGUCACCCGCUCCA